rnacentral:rRNA from 1 species
UACGUAGGUCCCGAGCGUUGUCCGGAUUUAUUGGGCGUAAAGCGAGCGCAGGCGGUUUGAUAAGUCUGAAGUUAAAGGCUGUGGCUCAACCAUAGUUCGCUUUGGAAACUGUCAAACUUGAGUGCAGAAGGGGAGAGUGGAAUUCCAUGUGUAGCGGUGAAAUGCGUAGAUAUAUGGAGGAACACCGGUGGCGAAAGCGGCUCUCUGGUCUGUAACUGACGCUGAGGCUCGAAAGCGUGGGGAGCGAACAGGAUUAGAUACCCCGGUAGUCC